rnacentral:rRNA from 1 species
GACGAACGCUGGCGGCGUGCCUAACACAUGCAAGUCGAACGGAGAUACGAUUUCGGUUGUAUCUUAGUGGCGAACGGGUGAGUAACGCGUGAGCAACCUGACUCUUAGAGGGGGAUAACACUCGGAAACGAGUGCUAAUACCGCAUAAGACCACGACAUGGCAUCAUGACGAGGUCAAAGGAGCAAUCCGCUGAGAGAGGGGCUCGCGUCCCAUUAGAUAGAUGGCGGGGUAACGGCCCACCAUGUCCGCGAUGGGUAGCCGAGCUGAGAGGCUGAUCGGCCACACUGGAACUGAGACACGGUCCAGACUCCUACGGGAGGCAGCAGUGGGGAAUAUUGGGCAAUGGGCGCAAGCCUGACCCAGCAACGCCGCGCGAGGGAAGAAGGCUUUCGGGUUGUAAACCUCUGUCCUUGGUGACGAAACAAAUGACGGUAGCCAAGGAGGAAGCCCCGGCUAACUACGUGCCAGCCGCCGCCGUAA